UGAACCCUCUCGACGUCAACUUUUAUCGGCUGGAUUCUAGCAUCUAACGUUACGAUUGCCUCUGUUGGGUUUGCUUGAUCAACCAUCGUUUCGGGGACUCUGAUGACAGUGAAGAGCCAGAAAAUGGUGACUUUGCAUCUCUGAGGUACCUUCCAACUCGCCUGGUAUAUCAGUUGAAGCCUCAAGCCCAAGCCAAUUGCACUGGCAAACUCCACCAUCUCGCCGAGUGCCAGGCCGCCGAGUCACUACCCCUCAACCUGGAGAAAACGGAAAAAGCACCUCACCAUGGGGCAGGACCGCAACACUCUUCACCUCAACUCCCUGCACCUGCACCUGCAUUUAACAUACAGAGAGUUACUCAAGGUAGGGACUGAUGAAAUAUUAGUGAAUAGAAAGGCCCCAUGUGUAUUAUCAGUCAUGGUUAACAGAUAACUACCAUUUAAUACAAUUUUUUUCCCCCUCUCGCACACCGCCCACCUCACAAUGGGCCAGGAACGGCAGUC